rnacentral:rRNA from 1 species
CGGCAGCACGGGUGCUUGCACCUGGUGGCGAGUGGCGAACGGGUGAGUAAUACAUCGGAACAUGUCCUGUAGUGGGGGAUAGCCCGGCGAAAGCCGGAUUAAUACCGCAUACGAUCUACGGAUGAAAGCGGGGGACCUUCGGGCCUCGCGCUAUAGGGUUGGCCGAUGGCUGAUUACCUAGUUGGUGGGGUAAAGGCCUACCAAGGCGACGAUCAGUAGCUGGUCUGAGAGGACGACCAGCCACACUGGGACUGAGACACGGCCCAGACUCCUACGGGAGGCAGCAGUGGGGAAUUUUGGACAAUGGGCGAAAGCCUGAUCCAGCAAUGCCGCGUGUGUGAAGAAGGCCUUCGGGUUGUAAAGCACUUUUGUCCGGAAAGAAAUCCUUGGCUCUAAUACAGUCGGGGGAUGACGGUACCGGAAGAAUAAGCACCGGCUAACUACGUGCCAGCAGCCGCGGUAAUACUGAGGGUGCGAGCGUUAAUCGGAAUUACUGGGCGUAAAGCGUGCGCAGGCGGUUUGCUAAGACCGAUGUGAAAUCCCCGGGCUCAACCUGGGAACUGCAUUGGUGACUGGCAGGCUAGAGUAUGGCAGAGGGGGGUAGAAUUCCACGUGUAGCAGUGAAAUGCGUAGAGAUGUGGAGGAAUACCGAUGGCGAAGGCAGCCCCCUGGGCCAAUACUGACGCUCAUGCACGAAAGCGUGGG